CUGGGAUCACAAUAACACCAGUGUAACCCCCGUUACAAAUACACUCAGUAAUAAUAGAGCAUUUUACAAUGAUAUAAAAAGGUCAAUAAAUAUUAAUAAACAACAUGAUAAAAACAGCUAAAAGUUGUGAGGAUAAAAAUAUAAAUAGUAUUAACAUUAAUAAUUUAUAGGUUUUAUUACUAUUUUUGUUUAAAAAGAGAAAUUGUUUUUGUUGUCGAUAAAGUUUAAAGUUUUUCAAGAGCCCUCCCCAACCUGUGCGUUGCGUAGCGGAGAGAUAGGCCUGUUUAGGGCAGAGACAGCAAGCACGCGCAGCAGAGUAGCCAUUAGCUGAAAAACUACGGUGAAAAACUAAAAUAACGGUGCAAACCUGUUGUCUAGCCAGACCGGAAGAGGGGUGUGAGCCAAAUAAGAUUUUAUGCCAUUACCAGACGAGUUUUGGCCAGGUUUUUGAGUCCCCCCGAGAGUAAUUGGGAGACGGUUCCGGACCGGAUCGUUCUGGACUUCUCCUGAUCCAUGGAUGGCGAGCCUACCCAAGGAGCACGAUAAUCCGGACUGCCUGUAGAGCAUCACGUGGUCCUUUACUUUUCCUCACUACUACAAAAUCUCUGCCAAGGUCGCGGUAGGAGAUUGAACACUAACUGUGGAUCCAAUAUACUUUAAAGGAGCACUACCAAAACUGGAUACGUCUGCUAACAAACUUUAAAGGAUUUUGCUAAGCAAUUGGACAUUUAGAAAAACAGUUCUUUGUUUGCUUUGCAUAUUGAAUUGUCUUUUGUUUGAUAUCUGAUAUUUUGUAACUUUAAAGGAUACUUUUGGUGUAAAUUUAAAGUGACAAAACUGAUUUACAAAAAAGUGAAAAGGGUAAUUAUAGUGAACUCAAAAGAAAGCUUAAACUAAAUUUAAGUUAAAUAAAUUUAGUUCUGUAACUAAAAUCCCUUUAAACCAAAUGACCGGUCAUCUUUAAUUAAAAUAGAUUGAAACUGAAAUUAACUUGAACAAAACCUUUUAUUUGAACUUUAACAGAAAAAGUAAAGGAAGAAACAACAUAAAGGGUGUUGAAAAGGUGUCUUAACAUUACUUAAGAACCAAAUUUGUAUGUUUAUUGUUGUUUGUCAAUUGUUCAGUAAACUGCCGGCUUUUUCCAUUCUACCUUUA